UACGUAGGGGGCAAGCGUUGUCCGGAAUUAUUGGGCGUAAAGCGCGCGCAGGCGGCUUUUUAAGUCUGGUGUUUAAGCCCGGGGCUCAACCCCGGUUCGCAUCGGAAACUGGGAAGCUUGAGUGUAGGAGAGGAAAGUGGAAUUCCACGUGUAGCGGUGAAAUGCGUAGAGAUGUGGAGGAACACCAGUGGCGAAGGCGACUUUCUGGCCUAUAACUGACGCUGAGGCGCGAAAGCGUGGGGAGCAAACGGG
rnacentral:rRNA from 1 species